rnacentral:rRNA from 1 species
AUGAUUAGUGGCGGACGGGUGAGUAACAUUUAGGAAUCUACCUAGUAGUGGGGGAUAGCUCGGGGAAACUCGAAUUAAUACCGCAUACGACCUACGGGUGAAAGGGGGCGCAAGCUCUUGCUAUUAGAUGAGCCUAAAUCAGAUUAGCUAGUUGGUGGGGUAAAGGCCUACCAAGGCGACGAUCCAUAGCUGGUCUGAGAGGAUGAUCAGCCACACUGGAACUGAGACACGGUCCAGACUGCUACGGGAGGCAGCAGUGGGGAAU